CCUUUGGAGUGUUAUACCAAAUGUGAGUAGUAUAUUCUUAGGGAUUAUGAAAACAGACACGUUGAAUAAGGAA
rnacentral:sRNA from 12 species